rnacentral:rRNA from 1 species
GUCCAGAGUCCACAUCGACGGGGGCACCUCGAUGUCGGCUCAUCACAUCCUGGGGCUGUAGUAGGUCCCAAGGGUUGGGCUGUUCGCCCAUUAAAGUGGUACGCGAGCUGGGUUCAGAACGUCGGGAGACAGUUCGGUCCCUAUCCGUCGCAGGCGUAGGAAAUUUGAGAAGACCUGUCCUUAGUACGAGAGGACCGGGAUGGACGUACCUCUGGUGUACCAGUUGU